GGUGAGUAACACGUGGAUAACCUACCUAUAAGACUGGGAUAACUUCGGGAAACCGGAGCUAAUACCGGAUAAUAUUUUGAACCGCAUGGUUCAAAAGUGAAAGACGGUCUUGCUGUCACUUAUAGAUGGAUUCGCGCUGCAUUAGCUAGUUGGUAAGGUAACGGCUUACCAAGGCAACGAUGCAUAGCCGACCUGAGAGGGCGAUCGGCCACACUGGAACUGAGACACGGUCCAG
rnacentral:rRNA from 1 species